CUCUUCUUUACCAUUGUUCAGUGAACUUGUCGUUUGAGCUUACUAGGCCCAAAUUGGUCAAGUGAACUUUUCGUUUGAGCUUGCUAGGCCCAAAUUGGUCAAGUGAACUUUUCGUUUGAGCUUACUAGGCCCAAAUUGGUCAAGUGAACUUUUCGUUUGAGCUUACUAGGCCCAAGUCAAGUGAGCUUUUCUAAUCAAUAAUUAUUAUUGACGCGCCCGUCGUCCGUUAAAUUUCACAAAAAUCUUCUCUGAAUCUUUUAUCACCAUAAGGGUAUCUUGUUUAAAAAAUGUAUACUAUCAUAUAAUAAAAAAAUAAAAUCAUACGUGUUUAGUGCACUGUUAUAAAAUAGAGAGUGGAAAUGGGGAAUGUGUCAAGGAGACAACAACCAGACCAAUGAAGACGAAGAAAAUUAGAAAAAAAAACAACCCAAAACCAUGAUUUGGAAAGCAAGUUCAACAUGUGCUAUCCGCCUAGGAAGUCUCUUGAUGGCGAGCUUGUCUCGAGUGUUGAAAGUCGUGCGCCUAUUAACCACUAAUGUCUAGUGGAAAUUAUUUCAUGCAUAUUCAGGACGAAAACAACACAAAAGUAUGUUACACAAAUCAAUUGAGUCCUCUGUGAAAAAAAAAAAAAAAAUGCAUCCACAUGCACAAACCUCAAAGUCUAUAUAAACAUGCAUAUGAAAUCUUAUUAUAUACCGAAAGGCUGCAAAAAUAAAAUACUUUCAUCAUCAUCUCGACGGUUUGUUAAGAUUUUGGAGAAAAGAAUAUUAGGCCAAAUAUGAAGACUAUAAAAUGGGCAUAACAAUAAAGAAAGGC
rnacentral:lncRNA from 1 species